rnacentral:rRNA from 1 species
CCUACGGAUGGCUGCAGUGGGGAAUAUUGGACAAUGGGCGAAAGCCUGAUCCAGCCAUGCCGCGUGUGUGAAGAAGGCCUUCGGGUUGUAAAGCACUUUCAGUGGGGAAGAAAGCCUUGGGGCUAAUACCCUCGAGGAAGGACAUCACCCACAGAAGAAGCACCGGCUAACUCCGUGCCAGCAGCCGCGGUAAUACGGAGGGUGCGAGCGUUAAUCGGAAUUACUGGGCGUAAAGCGCGCGUAGGCGGUCUGAUAAGCCGGUUGUGAAAGCCCCGGGCUCAACCUGGGAACGGCAUCCGGAACUGUCAGGCUAGAGUGCAGGAGAGGAAGGUAGAAUUCCCGGUGUAGCGGUGAAAUGCGUAGAGAUCGGGAGGAAUACCAGUGGCGAAGGCGGCCUUCUGGACUGACACUGACGCUGAGGUGCGAAAGCGUGGGUAGCAAACAGGAUUAGAUACCCCUGUAGUC